UAUCCAAAAAGGAAAAACCCUGUGUUUUCUAAAGGGUAAAAAAAUACAAAGGGAAAAAAGACUCUUCCUCUGCUAGUGGCAAUGCAAGCUUCUCCAUAUCGAUCGAUAUCUUCAACAAUAUUAUGUCGGUGUUCUUCCUCGCAGCUCUGUCUUCUUCGCAGCUGCUCAGCUUUGUCUUCUUCAUCAAAGAAUUUCCAUAGCAGCUCCUCACAUCUGUCUUCUUCAUCAAAGUAUUUCCAUCGCAGCUGGUCACCAAAGAGGUUAUAGCGCGUUGCAAGAAGUGGAUGGAACAUGUUGAUAAUCGUUUCGAUGAAAUCUACUUAGUUAAAGUGCAAAAGUUUUUUGAUUUUUCUUUUCAAGGCUGCAAGGUGGAGCUUCUUCAAAGACUGAAUUAUUGUCCGCGCUACGUUCAACUCGAGAGGAUAUCAAAUUCUUGAAUGAAGAAAACAGAUCAUUGAAUGAGGAAAACAAUUGUUUGAAUGAUCUCUUGUCUAGCAUAGAACAUAAGAUGAAAGAGAUGAUGAAUAUGAAAGAAUUCUUCGUUACUCAGCAGUCGCAUGUCCCACCUACAAACAUCAUCCGUUUCAAUUGAAUGAUUGUUGCCUUUUAAGCUGACCAAGUUAGUAACAAUAUACCUGACUUAUUAAUUAUUUUUCAUUAAAAUAAGUGGUUGUAGAGAUGUGAUCUGUUUUUGAAUAUUUUCACAACUUUCUUUAAUUGUGAUAGACAUAGUUUUUCAUUUUCUGC